rnacentral:tRNA from 1 species
CUAGAAACCUGAUGGGCAUCUACAGCGUUUAGCGCCCACACAAAUUGUUGGUCAGAUAUCGACGGUCCGGGCGAAUCGAGUUUUGCUUCCCGGCACGCAAACUGCCCUGAGGGUUCCGUGAACUGCCCUAACUCAAUGGGCCCCGGGUCCGCGGAACGUGGUCGACCCCAAGUGUUCGCGGGUCUGUAGCUCAGUUGGUCAGAGCGCACCCCUGAUAAGGGUGAGGUCGGAGGUUCAAAUCCUCCCAGACCCACCAUCGCCUACGCCGGGGCUAUAGCUCAGCUGGGAGAGCGCCUGCUUUGCAAGCAGGAGGUCGACGGUUCGAUCCCGUCUAGCUCCACCACCGAAAGGUGACCGUCGAUACAAAAAAGCUUUUGCAGACUCUGCCUGAUUGGUCGGGGUCUCCUGCCAGGUCCGCCUGGCCUGCUCUUUAACAAUUUGGGUAAGUCGAAUAGGCGCAUAAACGAGCGUUAAGCUCGUUGUAUGUAUGUACAUUGCAUUCGUUACUCAAAUAUAGCCUCGUGCUGAAAAUGCUUGAGGUUAUAUGGUCAAGCGAAUAAGCGUAUGUG